rnacentral:rRNA from 1 species
GAUGAACGCUGGCGGCGUGCCUCAAACAUGCAAGUCGAGCGGGGCUAAUGUAAUAUCGCAAGGUAGAACAUAGCCUAGCGGCGAACGGGUGAGUAACACGUGGGUAACCUGCCUGGAAGACAGGGAUAACGAUUCGAAAGGGUCGCUAAUACCUGAUAAUAUCCUUUCAUCGCAUGGUGAUAGGAAGAAAGGGGAAACCCGCUUCAGAUGGGCCCGCGUCCCAUCAGCUAGUUGGUAAGGUAAAGGCUUACCAAGGCGACGACGGGUAGCCGGUCUGAGAGGAUGUACGGCCACACUGGGACUGAGAUACGGCCCAGACUCCUACGGGAGGCAGCAGUUGGGAAUCUUAGGCAAUGGACGAAAGUCUGACCUAGCGACGCCGCGUGAGGGAAGAAGGCCUUCGGGUUGUAAACCUCUGUCAUGGGGGAAGAAGGAAGUGACGGUACCCCAAGAGGAAGCCCCUGCUAACUACGUG